rnacentral:rRNA from 1 species
GUCUCUCUUGAGUGGAUCCUGAGUACGACGGAGCACGUGAAAUUCCGUCGGAAUCUGGGAGGACCAUCUCCUAAGGCUAAAUACUCUCUAGUGACCGAUAGUGAACCAGUACCGUGAGGGAAAGGUGAAAAGCACCCCGGAAGGGGAGUGAAAUAGAACCUGAAACCGUGUGCUUACAAGUAGUCAGAGCCCGUUAAUGGGUGAUGGCGUGCCUUUUGUAGAAUGAACCGGCGAGUUACGAUUUGAUGCAAGGUUAAGCAGUAAAUGUGGAGCCGUAGCGAAAGCGAGUCUGAAUAGGGCGUUUAGUAUUUGGUCGUAGACCCGAAACCAGGUGAUCUACCCUUGGUCAGGUUGAAGUUCAGGUAACACUGAAUGGAGGACCGAACCGACUUACGUUGAAAAGUGAGCGGAUGAACUGAGGGUAGCGGAGAAAUUCCAAUCGAACCUGGAGAUAGCUGGUUCUCUCCGAAAUAGCUUUAGGGCUAGCCUCAAGUGAUGAUUAUUGGAGGUAGAGCACUGUUUGGACGAGGGGCCCCUCUCGGGUUACCGAAUUCAGACAAACUCCGAAUGCCAAUUAAUUUAACUUGGGAGUCAGAAC